UCUUGCGCCACUGAGCCAAGGGUUCCCGCAGGUAAUUGGAAAAGACCACAGUCAGUGAGGGAAACGCAGGAUCUAGUCUUCAUCCAGUCUCUCCGGCAAAGUAGUGCCGAGAGCGCCAUGAGCUACUUCGCGGACUCGGCGGUGAGCAGCCCUGCGCCUUACUGUGCAGCGCGCCCCGGGGUGGCGAGGCAGGGGCCUAUCAACACCUAUGAAGAUCCUCGAAUGGCCUAUGGUUUCCAGUCCGGUUAUCACCAGCAAAGAGCUUGUUACCCCUUCUGGGAUGAGAUGGCCACUCAGGAAGUUCCUACUGGUCUUGAAUACUGUGGCCCAGGUAGGAUCAUAAACAAAGGCUGGGAACGAAGAUAGAGUUGGAGGACAGCGGAAAUUUGAUCGGGCUGCAUUCUCUGAAAUAGCCAAUCCAAAAUCACAGCGGCCAUGGCUUACAUUGGUUCGGACACUAUUGUUCUCUAAUGGAAAGUCCCAGGGUUUCUCAAUAAUUUUGGGUUGCUUUGUUCUCCAGUGACAGGAAGGCUGAAUUCAGGAAUAGCUCCAAGAGAAUUUUCUGUUUUUUUUCUUUU